rnacentral:rRNA from 1 species
UACGUAGGGUGCAAGCGUUAAUCGGAAUUACUGGGCGUAAAGCGUGCGCAGGCGGUUUUGUAAGUCUGAUGUGAAAUCCCCGGGCUCAACCUGGGAAUUGCAUUGGAGACUGCAAGGCUAGAAUCUGGCAGAGGGGGGUAGAAUUCCACGUGUAGCAGUGAAAUGCGUAGAGAUGUGGAGGAACACCGAUGGCGAAGGCAGCCCCCUGGGUCAAGAUUGACGCUCAUACACGAAAGCGUGGGGAGCAAACAGG